rnacentral:rRNA from 1 species
GAUGAACGCUGGCGGCGUGCUUAACACAUGCAAGUCGAACGGAAAGGCUCCUGCUUGCAGGGGUACUCGAGUGGCGAACGGGUGAGUAACACGUGGGUGAUCUGCCCUGCACUUCGGGAUAAGCCUGGGAAACUGGGUCUAAUACCGGAUAGGACGAUGGUUUGGAUGCCAUUGUGGAAAGUUUUUCGGUGUGGGAUGAGCUCGCGGCCUAUCAGCUUGUUGGUGGGGUAAUGGCCUACCAAGGCGUCGACGGGUAGCCGGCCUGAGAGGGUGUACGGCCACGUUGGGACUAAGAUACGGCCCAGACUCAUGCGAGAGACAGCAGUGGGGAAUAUUGAAGAAUGGGCGCAAGCCAGAUGCAGCGACGGCGCGUGGGGGAUGACGGCCUUCGGGUUGUAAACUCCUUUCGCUAGGGACGAAGCGCAAGUGACGGUACCUGGAGAAGAAGCACCGGCUAACUACGUG